AGUGAACGCUGGCGGUAGGCCUAACACAUGCAAGUCGAACGGCAGCACAGGAGAGCUUGCUCUCUGGGUGGCGAGUGGCGGACGGGUGAGGAAUACAUCGGAAUCUACUCUGUCGUGGGGGAUAACGUAGGGAAACUUACGCUAAUACCGCAUACGACCUACGGGUGAAAGCAGGGGACCUUCGGGCCUUGCGCGAUUGAAUGAGCCGAUGUCGGAUUAGCUAGUUGGCGGGGUAAAGGCCCACCAAGGCGACGAUCCGUAGCUGGUCUGAGAGGAUGAUCAGCCACACUGGAACGGAGACACGGUCCAGACUCCUACGGGAGGCAUCGGUGGGGAAUAUUGGACAAUGGGCGCAAGCCUGAUCCAGCCAUACCGCGUGGGUGAAGAAGGCCUUCGGGUUGUAAAGCCCUUUUGUUGGGAAAGAAAUCCAGCUGGCUAAUACCCGGUUGGGAUGACGGUACCCAAAGAAUAAGCACCGGCUAACUUCGUGCCAGCCGCCGCGGUAA
rnacentral:rRNA from 1 species